UUGAACUAACUAGGUCUGGGGACUCGUUGGGAGGGGAAGGGAGAACCUGCCAAGAGAGAUAAGGGAACUAAGGCCUGGAAUUUAAUUUGGAGAUGUUUCCUGAUAACGAUAAUUAUUAGUGUGAAACUUCAUCAGCAGGUGCUACAGCUGCUGGAAGGAAUGAGCCAUGGAGGGAAGCCACUUUGGGUACACAGCUUCAUUGCAUUCGUCUAUGCUGCAGUCAGAGGUGUGAUUGCAGCACGUGCUAUACACCAGCGAGCUGUGAGUGAGGCCGCCGCAACUGCAAAGCUACCCGGGACCUGGGUGCUCCGGGGCACACAGCGCCGUGAAACCGGCUGUGUCAGAACGGGAAGCAGCCUCUACAGUCAGACCAUGAAAGCGGAGAGCAACCCUCCCGGGUUAGCUGCUGGAGGAGACUAACUGUGUCUGCCUGGCCCCUUCGGAGUUCCUGAGAUCUUAGUUUCCCAGAGGAUCUCCGCAGAGACCUGAGCGAGCGUGUGCAGGUCCUCCACCCCUCCAUGGCAAACACAUGGCACCAUGAACCAUGGGGAAUAGACCCACCCUCUGUAGGCAAAGAGAAAGAGAGUCCAAGAUGGGCAGAUAGGAGAGAUGCUAGCUAAAUUGAAUCAGCAGAUACAGUUCCAGAAGGACCAAAGGAUAAGAACAUAAGAACGGCCAUGCUGGGUCAGACCAAAGGUCCAUCUAGCCCAGUAUCCUGUCUUCCAACAGUGGCUAGUGCCAGAUGCACCAGAGGGAAAUGAACAGAACAAGGCAAAUAUUGAGUGAUC